ACAGCAGGUGACCAUGAAAACAUUGAGGCAGAGAAUGAAUAUCAGAAUACAUGGUCAGAGUAUGUAAGGCAACAGAGGGUCACUAAAUGGAAGAUUAGGGAGGCCAAGGUCAGGUGUGAGAGGAGUGGGCUCUGAAAGAAAAAGGCCUAGAAGGUGGGCGUGAAUGGUAUAAAUUCUUGAGGGGUGAAAGUGUGACUGAUAGUGAAACCGUGGAGUGCCUAAAAGUAAAUGGUGAGGAUAUCAGGAACACAGAUAGAAUGAAAGAGUGUAUAAAAGGUUUCUGGGAAGAGAUUGGAGGGAUGGGUGAAGUUUUUGAGGUGAGAGAGGGAUGUGUAACGCUUGAGAGGAAGGAUGCGGAUGAGCUGAAUGAGAGAAUUUGCAGAGAGGAAGUCGAGGUAUGUUUGAAGAAGCAGAAGAAUUGCAAGGCAGCAGGGCUGGAUGAGAUCCCGUAUGAAUUGUAUAAGAAUGGAGGUGAGGUGGUGAUAGACAGGAUGACUGAGCUAUUCAACUGUGUAUGGGAGAAUGAGAGAGUGCCUCGGGAAUGGAACGAAUGCAGAGUGAUACACAAGGGAGGACAUAAGAGUAAGAAAGAGCUGAAGAAUUAUAGACCGAUAGCCCUGGCGAAUACGGUGGGAAAGAUUUUCUGUGCUGUGUUGAAUGAAAGGCUGUGUAAGUGGAUUGAAAGAGAGAGAGUGCUGGGUGAGGAGCAGAUCGAAUGGUUUUCGCACAGACAGGAGGGCAGAGGACAAUAUGUAUGUGGUAAAUGAGAUGAUAGAGAGGAAAAGAAAGAAUGGAAGUCCGUUGUAUCUUGGGUUUCUUGAUAUUGAGAAAGCGUAUGAUAGAGUGAACAGGGAGGUGAUGUGCAAGGUACUGGAGAAAGUAGGUUUGAGUGAUAAGAUAGUGCGGAUCAUUAGGAGCAUAUGUAUGUGGAUACGAGAGCCAGGUAUAGGUUAGGAGCAUUAGAGACAGAGUGGGUGAGGAGUGAAAGAGGUGUUAGGCAGGGCUGCAUUCUGUCUCCAACUCUCUUCAGUCUGUACGUACACUGAGGAGUUGGCAGCCAGGAUGAGGAGAAAGAAUGCAGGAGUAAAAGUGGGAGAAGACAGGGGUGUGCCGAUACGAAGGCCUGACUCUCCAACGGGUCACCUGUACAGCAAGAGCAAGUGUCAGAUGUGUGACAGGGGUGUGGAAAACUGUGGAUGAAACUGUCGCGCUGCCACGCAUGUGAUACUACUGGAGUUGCCGUUCCAAAGGCCUGACUCAAGGGGAAGCUGUUGAGUCUCCUGUAAAAUCAAGAUCAAGCGGUUUUUGGAGGGAAAAAACCCCGAACCAUCCUCCACUCACUGGCCUCACUCCACAUCCACAGACUCACAGUAUCUGACCUGAGUGGUAACCAAGACUCUGGCCUGGCCUUCAAGAUCCUAAAACUCGCCAGAACCUUUCUCAAGAAAACGGAACAAUUAACUCGUCAAACAGUCAUCCACCUGCUACUUGCACCUUUGGGGCACAACCUAGAGGCUGUGGUACCACAGCCUUCACGGGCCCCAGCAAAUACACAACAAGAACAUGUGUACAGUAAGAUCGCUCUUGCCCUCCCCCGUCUUUGGUGAUUUCCUUGUUGCUCUGACCUGCCGUUUGCAUCUAAUACUAACAGCUAGUAUGAUGUGUGUGGAUGUGUUUUGUGUGCUGUAGUACAGUACGGGGCGAAACAUAUGUGUCUCAGUGUGUACAUUUUUUUCUAGAUCAAUACACAUCUAUAUAGGUGUGUGAGUACGUGUGAGUGGUUAUUUCUUGUGUGUGAGUGCGGGUUUGGAUGGUAUACCUACGUAAAUUGGGCACUCAUUACGCAGAGUGCACCCUCACGCUCAUACCCAUUCCUGCUGAUGUAACUAAACCUAAACUAACUAAAACUAACCUAACUAAAACCAACCUAACUAAAACCAAACUAACCUAGUGUAAUCUAACCUAAUUUAACUGGUUAGAAUGCUGUGAGCACGAGGGUGCACUCUGUGCAGUGAGUGUCUGUAAAUUGUAUGCUGGUGUGAGUGUGUACUUGCCAGCUAGUGUUAUUGCAUGUGUAGUGGAUUGUUGCUGUUGACACCCCCGGUGGUGGCCAGCUGACGUACGGGUGAGGAGAAAAAGGUGAAUGUGCAACAAUAAUUUUAAUUUAGGUGCCAGUUGUUCAUUAAUUGUACCGAAUUUUCCCUUGCCUUGGCGGGUAUUUUAUGUUGUAGGUAUUAUUAUGUAGUAUAUGUAGUAGGCCUAAUGUACAUGUUUAUCUACUCUGUAUCUGUUCUUUGACUUACCAGGUACUGCUGUAUAUAUGGUAUGUAGUCUGUGUUAAUAGUUAUAGGCCUGACCUUGCCCUAUUUAUUUGUUAUCUGCAAUUGGACUGAGACUAGUGAGAGAAUUUUUACCGAAAAUUCUGCCUCAUGCUGUAAUACUUCCUAGCUAUAUACAGUUAGGCAUGGUAGGAGGAGGCUUGCUUUGUUGACUAUUAUUUUGGGUAUCAUUAGAGGGUAAGCCUGACUUCUGGCAUCUAGCUAAAAAUAUCUCCUUCAAUUUCACCUCUUCCUCUUUCUCUCCUCUCCAUAACCCUGACGGCAGCACCGCCAUCUCAUCUGUUUCUAAGGCUGAACUCUUUGCUCAAACUUUCUGUAAGAACUCCACCUUGGACGAUUCUGGGCAUAUUCCUCCUACUCAUCCCCCCCUCUGACUCCUUUAUGCCUGUUAUUAAGAUUCUUCCUAAUGAUGUUUUCUAUGCCCUCCCUGGCCUCAACUCUCAAAAGGCUUAUGGACCUGAUGGAGUGCCUCCUAUUGUCCUUAAAAUCUGUGCUUCUGUGCUGACACCCUGCCUGGUCAAACUCUUUCAUCUCUGCCUAUCAACAUCUAUCUUUCCUUCCUGCUGGAAGUAGCCUUUGUACAGUCUGUGCCUAAGAAGGGUGACCAUUUUAAUACCUCAAACUACCGCCUUUUAGCUUUACUUUCCUGUCUAUCUAAAGCUUUUGAAUCAAUCCUUAACCGGAAGAUUCAAAAGCACCUCUCCACUUCUAACUUUCUAUCUGAUCGCCAGUAUGGAUUCCGCAAGGGGCGUUCUACUGGCGAUCUUCUUGCUCUCUUAACUGACUCUUGGUCAUCCUCUCUUAGCCGUUUCGGUGAAACUUUCUCUGUUGCGCUAGACAUAUUGAAAGCCUUCGAUAGAGUCUGGCACCAGUCUUUGCUUUCUAAACUGCCCUCUUUCGGAUUCUAUCCCUCUCUCUGUUCCUUUAUCUCCAGUUUCCUUUCCAGCCGUUCUAUCUCUGCGGUGGUAAACGGUCACUGCUCUUCCCCCAAACCUAUCAACAGUGGGUUCCACAGGGCUAGCUGUCCUAUCACCCACUCUCUUCCUGUUAUUCAUCAAUGAUCUUCUUUCCAUAACAAACUGUCCUGUCCACUCGUACGCUGACGACUCCACUCUGCAUUAUUCAACUUCUUUCAAUAGAAGACCAUCACAACAGGAAGUACACGACUCCAGACUGGAGCUGCAGAACGCUUAAUCUCAGACCUUGCUAUCAUUUCCGAUUGGGCCAGAAGGAACCUUGUGUCCUUCAAUGCCUCAAAAACUCAAUUUCUCCACCUAUCAACUCGACACAAUCUUCCAAACAUCUAUCCCCUUUUCUUCGACAACACUCAGCUGUCACCUUCUUCAACACUAAAUGUCCUCAGUCUAUCCUUAACUCAAAAUCUCAACUGGAAACUUCAUAUCUCCUCUCUCGCUAAAUCAGCUUCCUCGAGGUUGGGCGUUCUGUAUCGUCUCCGCCAGUUCUUCUCCCCCGCGCAGUUGCUAUCCAUAUACAGGGACCUUGUCCGCCCUCGUAUGGAGUAUGCAUCUCACAUGUGGGGGGGCUCCAUUCACAUAGCUCUUCUGGACAGAGUGGAGGCUAAGGUUCUUCGUCUUAUCAGCUCUCCUCCUCCUAUUGAGUGCCUUUUACCUCUUAAAUUCCGCCGCGAUGUUGCCUCUCUUUCUAUCUUCUAUCGCUAUUUUCACGUUGACUGCUCUUCUGAACUUACUAACUACAUGCCUCCCCCCCUCCCGCGGCCCCGCUGCACAUGACUCUACUCAUGCUCAUCCCUAUACUGUCCAAACCCCUUAUGCAAGAGUUAACCAGCAUCUUCACUCUUUCAUCCCUCAUGCUGGUAAACUCUGGAACAAUCUUCCUUCAUCUGUAUUUCCUUCUGCCUACGACUUGAACUCUUUCAAGAGGAGGGUAUCAGGACACUUCUCCUCCCGAAUUUGAUCUUGCUUUCUGCCACCUCUUUUGAUUCUUUUUUGGGAGCAGCGAGUAGCGGGCUUUUUUUAUUAUUGUUUUCUUUUUUUGUGCCCUUGAGCUGCUUUGUUGUAAUAAAAAAAAAUCCAUAACUGAAUCAAAUGUAGAAGGUUUGGACUGAUUUCUGUGCUCCGUCGAGUGUAUAUAAUGACUGCUGGUGAUCCAAAUUGCAAUAAUGAGAGUAUUUCUUCAUGAGGACAUUAUUUGAAGUUGUUUUAGUUGUGCAGUAUGGGCUGUUUUAUAUAGUUCUUGCACACCCACCUACCCCUGUUAUGAUUUUGUAUUAACCACAUUUGAGUGGCAUGACCCCGAGACAGCUGGACUUUCAUGCUCUUAGGAGAAGCAAUUUAUGUAUUUGCACAAAAGUAGUAGACAGGUACAAAUCAUAUUCUGCUGUUAUUCAUAUGUGUUGAUUUUAUUGCAUUGAGUAAUUUCAUUUACUAUUUUCCAGCAAACCCAUGUUCAGAAUUAGUUGGUUGGCUGGCUAUUCAUGGCCUAUGGAACCAGUGCAUUAUUUUCAGUAGGGUGAAAAAUAACUUGUGUUUUUGUAGUUUUCAAAAAGCAAUAAACCAGGAUUUAGUU